UACGUAGGGUGCAAGCGUUAAUCGGAAUUACUGGGCGUAAAGCGUGCGCAGGCGGUUAUGCAAGACAGAUGUGAAAUCCCCGGGCUCAACCUGGGAACUGCAUUUGUGACUGCAUGGCUAGAGUACGGUAGAGGGGGAUGGAAUUCCGCGUGUAGCAGUGAGAUGCGUAGAUAUGCGGAGGAACACCGAUGGCGAAGGCAAUCCCCUGGACCUGUACUGACGCUCAUGCACGAAAGCGUGGGGAGCAAACAGG
rnacentral:rRNA from 1 species